CUUUCAUUGAAGUCUGAAUGUGGAGUU
rnacentral:piRNA from 1 species